UAGGACCCUGGGAUCGUGACGUAGUUCUACCUAAAUUCUUGUGGACACAGUGCUUUCUGAAAAUACUAAAUUACUGCAGAGCUUUCCUAGCUUGGAAGCCAUUCUGUUUCUUACAGGUUUAGUGCCCGCAGUAUCAACAGAAGAGUGCCCAGCUGAAGUCUGACCUGUGUAGUGGUGCUGUAGCUAAACCGUGCAUGCAGUCAUUGAGCUCUAUAAAUGUAUUCUGGAGGUCAGAAGUCCAAAACCAAAGAAUCAAUAGGGCUGUGCUCCCUGUGAUGACUCCGGGGAGAAUCUGUCCCCUGACCCUUCCAGCUUCCGGUGGCCCACAGCACUUCCAGUCUGCCUCCGUGGUCACAUUGCUGCCGCCUCUUCUGUCAAAUCUCCCUCUGCCUCAUUCGUAUAAGGACACUUGUCACUGGAUUAUUUAAACUCCUGUGGAUAAUCCUGGAUAAGCACCCUCUUGAAAAAUCCUUAACAUCAUCCCAUUGUUUGCCAUAUCAGCUGUCAGUAUGCUCAAAAGUCAGCAGUUACAGAAAGGAAGCAUGGGCUCCAGUCGCACCAGUAUCCCCUGGAGCUCCCAUGGACAUAAGAAGACCUUUUCACGACCACUGCUGCUCCCAGAAAAGAUUCCCCCUACUGUGCUCAAGAUGGUGCAUAGAUUAUCUGCAUUGGAGCAACCAGGAAGCCAAAUUCUUUCUUGCCAGUUCCUUUCGAUUUGCAGCUCAGAGCUCCAGAGUCCCAGUCUGGCAAGGAAAAAUGACCCUGACAAUUGUCUGCCUUCCCAAUGAGUUCUUGAGGGGGGUUGGCUCAAUCUAGUGAGAAACAGCCUUGAUUGGGGACAUUCAUAAUCAGCUUCUCAUCUCGAAGCAGAGAAUCUCUGGCCUGAGGGCCUCAUAAGAACACGGGAACAUAAAUCCUGAAGACGUAUGAGGCACUUGAUAUUUCAUAUGCGCUUAGCUAAAAUUAAUUACCCAAUUAAUCUCCAAGGAUGAUAACCAAAUGAGCUCUUCUACAAAUUAUCAUUAUUUAUUAACAGAUCAGAAAGCCAAUGAAGAUAUUUUACAUAAGUUUCCGCAGGGGAAACGAGUCACGAGAAACCAAUGCCAGUCCCUUCAAGGUCUCCUAGUGAAAAAGCAACAGAACCCAAAGUCACUGUGGAAGUAGGACCCAUGGAGGAAGGACACUAGGAUCUGCCCAUCUUGCUGUGUGAAAAAUCAUGAAGUAGUAGAGACCCCUGGAGGCUUCUCUUUGUUUAUUUUCAACCACAACACUGGAAUUCUGCCCUUGCUUCUCUUGCUGA